rnacentral:rRNA from 1 species
AAAAACAUAGUUUGUUGUUUUAUUUAACAAAUCUGACCUGCCCGGUGAUAAUUUUAACGGCCGCAGUACCUUGACUGUGCAAAGGUAGCAUAAUCAAUUGGCUUUUAAUUAAGGUCUAGUAUGAAAGGAUAAACGGAUAAUAACUGUCUCUUAUAUUUAUUUUUAAAUUACUUAAGUAGUGAAAAUUCUACUAAAAAUAAAAUAGACGAGAAGACCCUUAGAGUUACGCGAAUAAUAAAAACUAUUUUAAAAUCGAAUUGUUGGGGCAACAAAAUUAAGCAAAUUAUAAAUCAAUUUACUUUUAAAAUAUAUAAGACGACUAAAAUUGUAAGAAUAAUAAACUACCUUAGGGAUAACAGCAUAAUUUCUUAAAGAUUGUGACCUCGAUGUUGGAUUAGGAACUAGGAAGUUUAACCAACUUUAUAGAUAGUUCUGUUCGAACUUAUAUUUACCUACGUGAUCUG